rnacentral:tRNA from 1 species
GGAAAUGUGCCUGAAAGGCAAAGGGCUAUUUUGAUGUGAUAGAUAUAGAGCCAACCACCCUCUCAUUUCCU